rnacentral:rRNA from 1 species
UAAACGACCCGUCUUGUAACACGGACCAAGGAGUCUAACAUACGUGCGAGUACUAUGGUGGCAAACCAUUGUGCGCAAUGAAAGUGAAGGCUGGCUUCCGUCAGCUGAGGUGGGAUCCGCAAGGAGCACCAUCGACCGACCAUGUCCCUUCGGGGUAAAGGUUUGAGUGUGAGCAUUUAUGUUGGGACCCGAAAGAUGGUGAACUAUGCCUGAAUAGGGCGAAGCCAGGGGAAACUCUGGUGGAGGCUCGUAGCGAUUCUGACGUGCAAAUCGAUUUUCAAAUGCCG